AAUGAACGUUGGCGGCGUGGAUUAGGCAUGCAAGUCGUGCGGAAAGGCUCCUUCGGGAGUACUCGAGCGGCGUAAGGGAGAGUAACGCGUGGAUAUCUACCCCCUGGACUGGGAUAGCGGCGGGAAACUGCCGGUAAUACCAGAUAAUGUCUGCGGACCAAAGGUGUGAUUCCGCCGGGGGAUGAGUUCGCGUCCUAUUAGCUAGUUGGUAGGGUAAUGGCCUACCAAGGCAAAGAUGGGUACCGGGUGUGUGAGCAUGGCCCGGCUCACUGGGACUGAGACACUGCCCAGACACCUACGGGUGGCUGCAGUCGAGGAUCUUCGGCAAUGGGCGCAAGCCUGACCGAGCGACGCCGCGUGCGGGAUGAAGGCCUUCGGGUUGUAAACCGCUGUCAGAGGGGAGGAAAUGCGUGAGAGUUCUCUCUCACGUUUGACCUAUCCUCAGAGGAAGUACGGGCUAAGUUCGUGCCAGCAGCCGCAGUAA
rnacentral:rRNA from 1 species